UCCCGCUUAUCACGGGCAGUUUCCUCAGAGUUCUCAGCAUUACCUGUUAGCAACAGAGGAUGAGGGUUGCGCUCGUUGCGGGACUUAACCCAACAUCUCACGACACGAGCUGACGACAGCCAUGCAGCACCUGUGCUCCGUCCAGCCGAACUGAAGGAAUCCAUUUCUGGAAACCGCGACGGGCAAGUCAAGGCCUGGUAAGGUUCUUCGCGUUGCCUCGAAUUAAACCACAUGUUCCACCGCUUGUGCGGGUCCCCGUCAAUUCCUUUGAGUUUUAAUCUUGCGACCGUACUCCCCAGGCGGAGUGCUUAAUGCGUUAGCUGCGCCACCGGGAGGUAACCCCCCGACGGCUAGCACUCAUCGUUUACGGCGUGGACUAC
rnacentral:misc_RNA from 1 species